UACGGAGGAUCCAAGCGUUAUCCGGAAUCAUUGGGUUUAAAGGGUCCGUAGGCGGACCUGUAAGUCAGUGGUGAAAUCUCCCCGCUCAACGGGGAAACUGCCAUUGAUACUGCAGGUCUUGAAUUAUUGGGAAGUAACUAGAAUAUGUAGUGUAGCGGUGAAAUGCUUAGAUAUUACAUGGAAUACCGAUUGCGAAGGCAGGUUACUAUCAAUAUAUUGACGCUGAUGGACGAAAGCGUGGGGAGCGAACAGG
rnacentral:rRNA from 1 species